rnacentral:rRNA from 1 species
GAUGAACGCUGGCGGCGUGCAUAACACAUUCAAGUCGAACGGUGAAGUUCCUUCGGGAACGGAACAGUGGCGGACGGGUGAGUAACGCGUGAGCAACCUGCCUACGAUUGGGGGAUAACACAGGGAAACUUGUGCUAAUACCGCAUAACACAUACGAGUUGCAUGUCUUGUAUGUCAAAGAUACGUCGAUCGUAGAUGGGCUCGCGUCUGAUUAGGUAGUUGGUGAGGUAACGGCCCACCAAGCCUGCGAUCAGUAGCCGAACUGAGAGGUUGAACGGCCACAUUGGAACUGAGAAACGGUCCAGACUCCUACGGGAGGCAGCAGUGGGGAAUAUUGGGCAAUGGGCGCAAGCCUGACCCAGCGACGCCGCGUGAGGGAAGACGGUCUUCGGAUUGUAAACCUCUUUCAGCAGGGAAGAAGAAAGUGACGGUACCUGCAGAAGAAGUCACGGCUAACUACGUGCCAGCAGCCGCAGUAAUAC